GGGUGAUCCUGCCAGUAUUAAAUGCUUGUCUCAAAGAUAAGCCAUGCAUGUGUGAGUUCAGCAUUUAUAAUAGUGAAACCGCGAACGGCUCAUUAAAUCAGUUUUGGUUUAUUAGGUAUUCAAAUUACAUGGAUAACUGCGGUAACUCUUGGAGCUAAUACUUGCAUUACCCGUUUCUGAUAAAGCAUUCGGGAGCAUUUAUUAAAUUCAAGACUACAACGUUUUUUUUAAAGCGUUAUUUGGUGAACUCUGGAUAACUGCGUAACUCCAGUUGCCUUGAGCAGGGAGUGUAUCUUUCAAGUGUCUGCCCUAUCAACUUUGGACGGUAGUGUAUCGGACUACCGUGGUUGUCACGGGUAACGGAGAAUCAGGGUUCGAUUCCGGAGAGGGAGCCUUAAAGACGGCUACCACAUCUAAGGAAGGCAGCAGGCGCGCAAAUUACCCAAUGCCAGAUCGGCGAGGUAGUGACGAAAAAUAACAAUAUGAUGCCUUUUGGUAUUGUGAUUGGAAUGGAAGGGAAGUAAAAUAUCCCUUGAGGAACAAGUGGAGGGCAAGUCUGGUGCCAGCAGCCGCGGUAAUACCAGCAUCCACAAGCAUAUACAAAAGUUGCUGCGUUUAAAAAGCUCGUAGUUGGAUCUGUUACGUGGGCCCUACUAAAAUCGUGAUGCUUUUGCACCGAUGGGGUCCAUGUACCUGGCCACGAGGACUCUUGCGCUUAAUUGUGUCUGAGAGUUCUAGGUGGAAGUUUUACUUUGAAUAAAUUAGAGUGUUCAAAGCAGCCUUUGGGUUUGGAUAUCAGAGCAUGGAAUAAUGGAACAGGGCUGUGUCCCAAGUAUGUUGGUCAUUGGCGAUACGGUAAUGAUUAAAAGGGACAAGCGGGGGCAUUCGUAUUGCUACGUUAGAGGUGAAAUUCUUGGAUCGUAGCAAGACGGACUACUGAAUGUUUUUAUUAAUCAAGACCGAAAGUUAGAGUAUUGAAGAGGAUUAGAUACCCUCGUAAUUCUAACCAUAAACGAUACUAACUUGCGAUCCGCUAGAGUCCUCAACGACCUGGCGGGAAGCUACUCGGGAAACCAAAGUGAAUUUGUUCCGGGGGAAGUAUGGUUGCAAAAUCGAAACUUAAAGGAAUUGACGGAAGGGCACCACCAGGAGUGGAGCCUGCGGCUUAAUUUGACUCAACACGGGAAAACUCACCAGGUCCAGACAUGGUUAGGAUUGACAGACUGAAUCUCUUUCGUGAUUCUAUGGGUGGUGGUGCAUGGCCGUUCUUAGUUAGUGGAGUGAUCUGUCUGGUUAAUUCCGAUAACGAACGAGAUCCCGGCCAUUUAACUAGCUUUCAGUACUUUGGUACUGUUGUGCUUCUUAGAGGGACCAUGUGGAAUUAAUACUACAAGGAAGUGGGGCUAUAACAGGUCUGUGAUGCCCUUAGAUGUCCUGGGCCGCACGCGCGCUACACUGGGUGCGUCAUAAUGAUUACAAGCCUUGUCCGAAAUGGUCUAGGUAAUCACUGAAACGCAUGCCAUACUUGGAAUUGAUUAUUGCAAUUAUUAAUCGUGAACGAGGAAUUCCUAGUAAGCGCCAGUCAUCAGCUGGCGUUGAUUACGUCCCUGCCCUUUGUACACACCGCCCGUCGCUACUACUGAUUGGAUGUUUAAGCGAGACCUUCGGAUUUCUGGCACGUGAUUUCGGUUGUCGUGCUAAGAAUGAAGUAGAUCAAGCUUAUGUGUCUAGAAGAAGUAAAAGUCGUACAAR
rnacentral:rRNA from 1 species